rnacentral:rRNA from 1 species
AAAUUANCGUUAUAANGGCGUNAAGGGUGGUCACAUGUUAUCCAAGUAACUAAGAUUAAAAGGUGUCUGAGCUGUCAUAAGCCAAUGAUACCCAUAAGGCCUCUUCCAUCAAAGAAGAUCUUAGAACAACGAUUAAUUGAAAUCCACGAAAGCCAGGGCCCAAACUGGGAUUAGAUACCCCACUAUGCCUGGCCCUAAAUCUUGAUGCUUUAUCUUACCUGAGCAUCCGCCCGAGAACUACGAGCGCAAACGCUUAAAACUCUAAGGACUUGGCGGUGCCCCAAACCCACCUAGAGGAGCCUGUUCUAUAAUCGAUGAUCCACGAUAUACCUAACCAUUUCUUGCCAGUAACAGCCUAUAUACCGCCGUCGCCAGCCCACCUCCCCUGAUAGCCCAACAGU